rnacentral:tRNA from 1 species
UGUACUAUAGCUCAAUGGUAGUAGCAAUCCACUCAUAAUGGAUCGAUCUCAGUUCAAUUCUGAGUAGUACAA